rnacentral:rRNA from 1 species
UACAGAGGUCUCAAGCGUUUGUUCGGAUUCAUUGGGGCGUAAAAGGGUGUGUAGGUGGCGCCGUAAGUCGGGGUGUGAAAUUUCGGAGCUUAACUCCGAAACUGCAUUCGAUACUGCGGUGCUUGAGGACUGGAGAGGAGACUGGAAUUUACGGUGUAGCAGUGAAAUGCGUAGAUAUCGUAAGGAACACCGGUGGGCGAAGGCGGGUCUCUGGGCCGAAAAUUGACGCUGGAGGAGCGAAAGCGUGGGGAGCGAACAGG